UUUCCAUCAUGGCCACCAUCUCCCUCCCUACCACCCCAUCACCUCAUCCCACAGUGUCAGAACCAUGACUCCAGACUGUACCACCGUCUCCCUUCACUGAUUCAGCACAGCCAGGGCUUCUGAUGCACCUGCAGACAAAAGGAAGAAUGGGAAGAAUAACCAGGCUGCCGACGUCAGGUGCUCGUGAGUUUAUGACAAGAUGGCCAGACACCUCAGAAUAUCAGGCCUCUGACAGAGGAGAAGCAAAGGAUGGAUGCCAGGGGGGGCUGUCAUGGGGAGAAGAGACACAAGCCCAGAGAGGCUGCGCUCCUUGCUCAAGGUUGCACAGGAGUUGGUAAGAACACAGAUAUCCUGCCUACCAGUGUUUUUGUUCUUGGGCUUGAACCUGGCAGAUCGAGAGACUUCUGAGCCUCCAUGGUUUCAAGAUCCAAUUUUCCUCCGUCCCUCCCUUCUCACCACAAGACACUGGAUAAAAUGGAGAAAGUACGCUAAGCAUGUUUUCAUUUACUUAUUGCUUUCUGAUUGUGAAUGAGCUGUGACUCUUUCUCAGAAGUGGCCUCCUCCAAGUGAUAGGGACAAAGGUUCUUUGCCUAAGGAAAGGGUGACCCCUCCUGAGACAGUUGCUAUACUUCUAGACCUGUAACUAGAUUCAAGUCCCUAUAAAGCCAGGGCACACAGCGUGAUGCACGGGGAUGGGAACACGCUGUAUGUACUUCAGAACAAUGGCUUAUGUUUUCUAAUCAGUUCAAGCAGAAAUCCAAGGAAUUGGGGCACAUGGAUCAUAGAGUUUCAUCAGGCAAAAUGCAUUGAUACGGGCUCACCAACUAAGAGCCUGCAGCUAAUGCUCCCACUUAGCUAGUUGGGAGGGGUUCCAGAGGUCUGGUUGGUUAGUUGGUUGGCUGAAAUGUGGAUCAAAAGGUGACCCACCAUGAGUGUGCUGGACAGUUUUAUGUCAGCUUGACAUAGCUAAAAUCAUCAGAGAGAGAGAGAUAACCUUGCCAGGCGGU